AUUCGUUUUUUCCAUUGAUCUCACAAUAAUAUAAAAUUAAUGCUUAAUGCUUUUCAUAUUGGCAUACCUAUUUAUUAAAAGAAUAGUUAACGGCCAUGUUACUAAAAUAUAUAAAGCACCAAAUGAAAAAAUUAUAUGAAAUUAUCAUGAUUAUACCUUUAUAUCGAACAAGUACAAAAUGUGCAGCAUCUGGAAAAAAUAGAAUUAGACUAAAACCAAAGUGAAUUAUUAACUAGGUUUUAGUCAUAUUGGUUCAAUAAUUAUUGCAUUCUGUAUUAUCUGUGUUUCUUAUUUUAAGCCAAUCUGCCUAAGAAUCAGGUCGAUGUGAAAGCAUGUAAACAAUAAUCCACUCGUAAGGUCAAAAUGUAUAAUGGUACACAAAUAGAAACAAACCUUUCCUUUUCCUGUUCUGGUAUUUCAAGAUAUAAUUUGUUUGAAAUAUACUAGAAAUUACCAAGAAGGUCGAGCUAACACCCAGAAAGAUUUACCAAUUAUAAGACAGUGCAAGGGUAAUGGUUAGGUCAUCUUGGUUUUUUUUGCCAUGUUUUGGAAGUUUUCUAAAUUGACUGAUUCUUACGAAUACUGGCCCUAAAGUUUAAUCACAUAUAAAGCCAUACUGUUGUGUCUAAUCAGAGCUUGCAUUGAACACUGUGAAAUUUCAAUAUUGAUCAGUUUCAACAUCUUGAAUACAUAAUCUGAAUUGAAACAAUACUAUGGCUGUAGGUAAUUUAGAUUUCAUUGGACCCUUUUAAAAAUUCUUGGGCAUUAUUUCCCCUUUAAAUUUUAUGACAUGGUUGGACUUAAUAUUGCAAAAAAUAUUUCUUAGUGCUGACAACAGGAAAAUUAUACUCGAUACCUGUUAUGUCAUAUUAAUCUGUGUAAAAGUUAUUUUAACUAAUUAAUCCAACUAUGUAAAUACAUAGAC
rnacentral:lncRNA from 1 species